rnacentral:rRNA from 1 species
UACGUAGGUGGCAAGCGUUGUCCGGAUUUACUGGGCGUAAAGAGCGCGCAGGCGGUCAUUCAAGUCGCGUGUGAAAGCCCCCGGCUCAACUGGGGAGGGUCACGCGAUACUGAUCGACUCGAAGGCAGGAGAGGGUAGUGGAAUUCCCGGUGUAGUGGUGAAAUGCGUAGAUAUCGGGAGGAACACCAGUGGCGAAGGCGACUACCUGGCCUGUUUCUUGACGCUGAGGCGCGAAAGCUAGGGGAGCAAACGGG